rnacentral:lncRNA from 1 species
CAGAAAGGUGAGCCACGUGGAGAUCACCUGUGGCUGAUGUGGUUCACGGGCUCCUGCCAGGGGCAGUCACUGGUUUUGUCUGCUGUAGAUCUAUCAUCUGUUAGGCACCUUAUACAUUUUUUUUGAGACAGAGCAGUAAAGGAAUGUGCCCCAGAUCAUUAAAGUCCUGUGUGUGGGCUGUCUGCGUGGGGGAGGCACUGCCACAGAGGACACGUUGGACGUGACCGGUUCAUAUGAAAAUCCCCUUGGAAAAUGCAUGUGGCACCAGAUUGCUGGAGUUUUCUCAGUCUAAACAGUUCCUGAUGAUCUCCCUCCCUCUUGCUUGCUCUUUAUAUAUAUCUAUAUUUUUUUAAACUGAAACUAAACUGUUAUCUACAAAGGAACUCAUCAGCGUGCACGCACACACAGCAUUCCAUCCAAUCCCUGCCCUCGCCCACCCACUGUCCAAAUAAAAACACUUCAAAUGUUUUGGAUCCAGUUUCUUAUUUCCUGUGAGCAGUUGCCGGCAUUACUUUACGUGGAGAGGUUUGGUUGUAAGAUGAGCAGAUGCCCAUGAGCUCUAUCCCUCGUAGUAAGUUAGGCCAGCAGGCUGUGAGACUUUGGAGACUGAUGCCAAUUUUCUUCUUAGAGCAUAAUCCUGUAAUGCUCAACAGAAAGUUUUUGCUCUUUUGAAUUAAAGCCUUACUACUUUGCCUGAUUUGUGUUUGAGGUUUUAUAUUUUUUUCCUUUAGUAGAGACAAUUUAAUCUCAAAAUGCCAAGUCCUCUUAAACUUCCCUACUCUGUUGUGGAGUGUGUUUCAUCUUAAAAACAUCCCAGAGAAACUUGGAAGAGGUCCUUGGGUUAGCGAAUGCCCUCCUCGCCAUCAUAGAGACUGCUGAGCACAAGACGAAAAACGCACGUCUGUCAGACUGUUUUACCAUCAAAUAAUGAAGACGUUUGCAUGCCAUUUUAGAUUUUGCAGCUCCCUACUGCUUAUCUUCCGGAGGCCCGUGGCGUCCAGUGUUGGU